ensembl:snoRNA small nucleolar RNA, C/D box 113-3
UGAACCAAUGAUGAGUGUUUGGGGUCCCUGAAUCAAUGACUCUGAUUAAAACCUUAACUCUGAGGUCAGA